GUGCCACGCGGUAAUACGUAGGAGGCGAGCGUUGUCCGGAAUCACUGGGCGUAAAGCGCGUGUAGGCGGAUGAGUAAGUCUGUGGUGAAAGCGCCUGGCUUAACCGGGUGAGGUCCAUGGAAACUAUUCGUCUGGAGGCCGGUAGAGGGGGGUGGAAGUUCCGGGUGUAGUGGUGAAAUGCGUAGAGAUCCGGAGGAACACCCGUGGCGAAGGCGGCCCCCUGGGCCGCGCCUGACGCUGAGGCGCGACAGCGUGGGGAGCAAACAGG
rnacentral:rRNA from 1 species